GCCCCCGUGGCCUAAUGGCUAAGGCGCUGGACUUCUACUUUGUAGAUAUGUCUUUAUCUAGAGAUUGCGGGUUCGAGUCCCGCCGGGGGUU